AAUAAGUGCAGUUUUGCAACGUUUAACCGUCCGUCUUAUUUGAAAAUUUUUUAUGAUUAGUAUUUUUAUUGCUAUUAGAUGAUAAAACAUGAAUAGUACUUUAUGUGUGACUAAAUGUUUUUAAUUUUUUCACAAAUUUUUCAAAUAAGACGGACGGUCAAACGUUGAACAUGAAUAGUGCAAAACUGCACUUAUU
rfam:Oryza sativa (indica cultivar-group) chromosome 7, whole genome shotgun sequence.